GCAAUUGCCUUCUCCUUUGUUAAGUUUAAAGAGAUUAGUCCACCACUUUGUCUGAGAGGAGAUCCGUCAGCUAUGUGUCACUCUGUUUGUGUCUUUCCGCAAGGGUGCAGGGAGGUUUGUACUGUCGACCCAGUGCUGGAGUUUCUUCGGAUUGUGUAGAAUUCCCAGACUAAUGCAAUGGGACCUUGUACCUGUUUCUUGACCUCUGAUCUGAUUCACCAGCCAGAAUGUUAUUCCAUCUGCCUCAUCCUGUGAAAGAAGCUGAGAGCAUGUUUAUGAACCCAUGAGGAUUGUUCCCCCUGUAAAACAAAUACUGAUUAACGGUUCAAAAUAAUCUUAAUAAUGUACAGCCAA